AUCUAGGCUCUUGCAUCGAUGAAGAACGUAGCGAAAUGCGAUACUUGGUGUGAAUUGCAGAAUCCCGUGAACCAUCGAGUCUUUGAACGCAAGUUGCGCCCGAUGCCAUUAGGUUGAGGGCACGUCUGCCUGGGCGUCACAUAUCGAAGCCUCCUCCCAAUUUC
rnacentral:rRNA from 1 species